UGGGGAAUAUUGCGCAAUGGGCGAAAGCCUGACGCAGCGACGCCGCGUGUGGGAUGACGGCCUUCGGGUUGUAAACCACUGUCGCGAGGGACGAAAAAAUGACGGUACCUCGAAAGGAAGCACCGGCUAACUCUGUGCCAGCAGCCGCGGUAAUACAGAGGGUGCGAGCGUUGUCCGGAAUCACUGGGCGUAAAGGGCGCGUAGGUGGCCUGAUAAGUAGGGGGUGAAAUCUCGAGGCUCAACUUCGAGGCUGCCUCCUAAACUGCCAGGCUUGAGCAGAGUAGAGGCAGGUGGAAUUCCCGGUGUAGCGGUGGAAUGCGUAGAGAUCGGGAAGAACAUCGGUGGCGAAGGCAGCCCCCUGGGCCAACACUGACGCUCAGGCACGAAAGCGUGGGGAGCAAACAGGAUUAGAUACCCCUGUAGUCCCUGAGCGGGCUGGCAAGGCGCAU
rnacentral:rRNA from 1 species